rfam:Triticum aestivum genome assembly, contig: Triticum_aestivum_CS42_TGACv1_scaffold_131318_2BL
AUUCUACUCCCUCCGUUGCACAAUACAUGCCUUUUAUUUGUCAAAAUAUAUAUGUAUCUAGACAUGUUUUAGUAUAUAGGUACAUCCAUUUUUGGACAAAUAGAAGUCAAGUAUUUUGGAACGGAGAGGGAGUACACA